rnacentral:rRNA from 1 species
GAGGAAAGAGGGAGGGGGGAAGAAUAUAGGGAAGCAGAGCGAAAGGAGGAGAAGCUUGAUUGUAUGAUGUUAGCGGGGGAAGGGUGAGUAAUACGUGGAUAAAAUAACUAUAAGACUGGGAUAACUUCGGGAAACCGGAGCUAAUACCGGAUAAUAUUUUGAACCGCAUGGUUCAAAAGUGAAAGACGGUCUUGCUGUCACUUAUAGAUGGAUCCGCGCUGCAUUAGCUAGUUGGUAAGGUAACGGCUUACCAAGGCAACGAUGCAUAGCCGACCUGAGAGGGUGAUCGGCCACACUGGAACUGAGACACGGUCCAGACUCCUACGGGAGGCAGCAGUAGGGAAUCUUCCGCAAUGGGCGAAAGCCUGACGGAGCAACGCCGCGUGAGUGAUGAAGGUCUUCGGAUCGUAAAACUCUGUUAUUAGGGAAGAACAUAUGUGUAAGUAACUGUGCACAUCUUGACGGUACCUAAUCAGAAAGCCACGGCUAACUACGUC